CAGUCGCCGCGGUAAAACGGAGGGUGCAAGCGUUAAUCGGAAUUACUGGGCGUAAAGCGCACGCAGGCGGUCUGACAAGUCAGAUGUGAAAUCCCCGGGCUCAACCUGGGAACUGCAUUUGAAACUGUCAGGCUGGAGUCUUGUAGAGGGGGGUAGAAUUCCAGGUGUAGCGGUGAAAUGCGUAGAGAUCUGGAGGAAUACCGGUGGCGAAGGCGGCCCCCUGGACAAAGACUGACGCUCAGGUGCGAAAGCGUGGGGAGCAAACAGGAUUAGAUACCCGGGUAGUCCCUGUCUCUUAUAC
rnacentral:rRNA from 1 species